GGUAAAUGCCAGUCUCAUAUUUAUGAAUAAUAAGGUAGAAACCAUUGCCUCUGAGGAGGAAAGGGUGCCUUCAUAUCUGGUCCAAUCUCCCUUCUUAGUUUGUGGAACCAGUACUGUUUCCUACCAUUAACAGAUCUGUUUGCUUAUCUAAUAUUCCCAGAUCAAAUUACCCAGUUUCCACUCCGAUGGGCUUGACAAACCUGCUAUCUCUAUAACUUGGUACCCUGCACCCUUUCACACCUGCUGACUCCUUCACAAUGAAGAGAAGGGAGCCAGUCUCCUGAGAUUAAGGAAUUAUAAAAACAUGUACGCGAAAAAACUGAGUCUUGGAGAAGUUAUUUGCCAAAGUCACACACCUGGCAAAUGUCAGUCAAGACCAGAGGAGCCCAAGCCUUCUAACU
rnacentral:lncRNA from 1 species